rfam:TPA: Bos taurus chromosome 4, whole genome shotgun sequence.
UCCCAGAUGGCUCAGUGGUAAAGAAUCAGCCUGCCAAGCAGAAGACGCAGGUUCAAUUCCUGGGUCGGGAA